GUACUUCCGUCUCCCAGCAUAUGGCACACAUUUCUUGCUCAGCUCUCCUCCAUCCCCAGCAUUUCUGGCUGCUGUGAGGAUGCCGGGUCUCAGCAGAGUGCGUUGGCUUUGCAGCAGCUGCAAUCCAGUUUUCUGCUCUUGCUCUCUGCUGUACUGAGGGAGAGUGGCAAAGGUGAUGGUCUGGGGACUGCUACUUAGACACCAAGCAGAGGCCAAUAACAAAGAUGCAUUUAUAGUUAUUUUUAUGCAGUGCUGUGGCCGAUACAAAUUUCUGAAGUCUGUACAGUGCUUUUCACCCAGGGUAAUUGAUGUACAGGCUCUGUCAGACCUUUCAAAUCAGCAGUGCCUCGGGCUUGGUGGUGCUGUCUCUUCCCUUUACCCCUAGCUUUUCUCAGUCUCAUGCAGUUCAAUACUUGCAUCUCCCUCAUUUCUGCUGUGCCGUUUGGCUCCAGUUGUGCUAAAGCCCAGAGGCCAAUCCAUUAUGAAAAUCAGCUAGUAGCAGCAGCAGGCACCAUUAGCUAAAGAGCAGCUUUCUGCCACAGGGAAACAUCCCUAUGUCACACAGUCCUGGAAGGGAGUGGUCAUGCAGCUUCCUCUGAGCCUCUGUUGGCCAUCAGGGAAGGAGAUGAUACAAGAUGUGUGCCCUCUUCAUUGCACCUGUCCUGUUGUUUAGGAGAGAGAUCGCUCCCUCUGCAGGUAGGCAGUGUUGCUUUUGCAACGUGGAAGUCAAUUUUCUGGUAGUCAAUCAGAUUUUGAUUGAGUGCUUUUCAGGUCAUGAGAUGUAAUUCUAAUAGCAGCCAAUUAUCUGUUUUAAAAGAUGCCUCUUAAAAAGGACCUCUUCUCAAAAGGCUUUGAAGAUCUCUAAGCUCCUAACAGGCUGCAUUCUUUUAGUAAAAUGAAAGCAGAAUUCCCUAUUGCCUCCCACCCAGAGGAGAUGAAGGGGAGAUGCCCAUGAAGAUGAACUCUGCCUCCUCUUUGGGAGCAUGGUGAAGGACUGCACAGAGCUGGCACUGCUGGGGCACCCCCUGCACUGGACACAGUUGUGAAUUGAGGAUGAAUAUCACUGAUAAAAUGGAGGUCAACAACUGAACGGCAUCUCGUGGAAAAGAUUCGGAGAACCUUUGAAACAUCUGCUGACAAACUUUGAUGAGAAGACAGCAAUGUGCUUGAAGCAGAAAUUCAAAGAAUUGAAGUGUGGCUGUUUCCAAGAGGCAAGAAGACUGCAGAACUCAUAGCACUGUACGUGGACAAACAAGUAUAUGGUGGUCUGUCUGUGAGUGCUGAUGGUCACUGCUUUAACGGUAUCGAUCCAAUGCCAGUGUUUCAUCAGGUUACAGAGGUCACGCCUUAUGCAAGCGAGGACCCCAUUCCACAUCCUCUUCCUCUGGGAGUUGCCCACUUCUGUGGAGAUCCUCAUGUUUCCCAGAGGUUGGCUGCAACUAAUAGCGUAAUAUUAACUGAAAGCUCUUCUGUAGAAGUUGUGAUUUUAGUUGUGAUGAGCAUUUGCACAUGGGAAUGGCCAAAGAGCCUCU
rnacentral:lncRNA from 7 species